rnacentral:lncRNA from 1 species
GUUGAAUUUAAACUGAGAUGUGGCAUGGUUUGAAGCAUAGUCACUUCAAAAGUGCUGUCCUAAUCAGAGCUUCUUACAGUAACUUAAAUGAAGCUUGAUCAAGCCAAACCUAAGCCAAACCCUGCUCUCAGUUCCACCAGAGAAAAUGCCAGUGUCACAUGGCUGUGCUGUCAGAAUGCUUCAUCACAGCUAACAAACCCCAAGGAACACCUCUGAGUUACCAUGCACCUGGGGAGCAGCAGCACACAGCCAACUCUGCCUGCCUUGGUCAACCCUGUCUCCUCUGCUUCACAUGGUCAGGUGCUGCACAUGUGCUUUGCACCUGUAGAUAAAUCAAGAUUUCUCUAGUCAUUCUACUUAGGGAAUUACUUCGAUCUGCUUAAAUAUCUUACAUACUGAAUACUGACAUCACAAUAAACAGUCCACUAGAACAAGUGUUCUGUCUCUCACAACAGAGGAGCAGUGAGAGAAACACUGGAUAAGCAAAGACAUGUAAAGCUGUUCUUUUGCUCGAAGUGGAUGCUAGCUGUUCAGCAAUAUAUGACAAAUGUCUCCAGAACACUGAGAAAUAAACCUGCACUAAAUACUGCCACCUUGUCUAUCUGUCAAAUUCUUUUUGGUGCCUAUAUGAGCUCUUUCCACCAGCUCAUGAAUGGUACAGCAAAUCCCAGACACUACAGUGUUAAUUCUGCAGGCGGUGAUACUGACUUGCAUGUUCAGCCUGUCCACAUCAGAAGAUCUAUCACCAGUAACUGUCACAGGGAGAAGCCUACUCUGCUAAAAACAAUCAAGCAUCAAUGGAGGUAUCUAUCAUUUAAUACUAUGACUGCGCUCAAAGUACUCUAAUAAAGCAUACAUGUAUUCUGACCAAGAAAAGUGAAGUCAGUGGUCACAAACUGCACAUGAUAAAACUGGAAUUCAGAAAUUGAAGGACUGAGCAGACCACUAAAAUGAUGUUGCUACUUCACAGCCUUGCUAUUCUGUAAAACAGGAGAGGUGUAAGUACUUUCAUCAGAAAGACUAUGUAAAGUUAUUUUUAAAUAACAUGCAGAAAACAACAGCAGUUGUCCCAAGCUAGGCAUGCUUUGUUUUAUUUAUUUUAUUUACUUGCGUCUGCUUACUGUAUCACAUUUCUUUUGGGCUUUUGCCCAGAUUUUAAAAUGUCUAUACUUAAAAUUACAUUUUUAAAUGCACAAGCCAAGACUAAGGGAGCUGUUUUCAUUUUUUCUCCUAAAAUGACAAUAUAAUAUCAAGCGCCUACUUCAGAAAAUCUUUCUCUUCAAAGGCCUGUUGAAUGAAUCAUCAGCAAAUGCACGCAAGUCUUGGAGAGAUCAACAAGCAUUUGUCACUGUAAUCCAAAAAGAAAUCUCUCUAUGCAUAGGUUACUAAUUUUCU